CAGAUAAUAAACCCACUUUCUUCUUUUCUCACAGCUCUGCCUCCUCAGUGUGAGUUCAGCGCCACCUACCCUACUCAGAGCUUCCUGCUGUUUGCCAUAGAAGUCUCCUCAAGAACACCAAAGCCCUAUCAGCUUCCAACACUCUUCCCUUCAGCUCCGUGCAGAGAGAGACCUGCUCAUCUUGAGAAAGAUUUCAGUGUCAUCCAAAAGCUGUGAUUCCUCAGUCAGUUCUUCUGCUCUAACAGACUUCACUGUGUGUGUAGAUUUAACAGCUGUCUGCUUCAGUUUGCAUUAUGUGUGAGUUAGAUGAAUGAUGACUAGCAAAAAGGCAAACAGUGUUUUACCAUCUCUUGCAUUAGAAAACUCAUCUGCAGACAAGUUACAGAGAUGUGAGGUGCACCAAAGUGUUGGAAUGGCAAGGUGCAAGAGUUUUUCCUGUGUUUAACUUCUCAUCUCAAAUGUAGCAUAAAGGACCAAAAUACCUUGAAGGCUCCUGUUUACUUUGGGAAAACGGGCAAAGGUCUGCCUUCCCCCAAUGAGGUCACUGAAAAUGAACCAAAAAUGGAUCCCCUUCAAGACCACCUUAAUUAGUGUAUUGGGUGAUGGUGACUCAAAGGCAGUUGCAUUAUCAAGAAUACCUGUAAAGAGAAGCUUUUUCUUUGCUAGCUGCUUUGGUUUAUCCCCCGCCAGCCGCCUGGGCUCUGCCGCAUUG